CUUUCUCCGCACUAUUGAUGAUUUUAGACCUCUAUCAUAUACCCCCUUAGUCAUCUCUUUUCUAAAUUGAACAGUCCAAGUCUUUUAAAUCUCUCCUUAUAUGGAAGUGUUUCAUACCUUUAAUCAUGUUUU